AAGCUGUGAAUUUAUAACCUGUAGAAAUAUAGCUGUUGGAUAUUCAAAAAUAUUACCGUUAGAAUAAAAACCAACUCAGCUAUUUUAGAAUAAAUCUGUUAUAAUAUGAGAUGCACAGAGAUGUAAUUGAGCCCUAAUCAAGGAUCUCCAAGCAAAUUACACACAACAAAGCAAUUGAAACAAAAGAGAAAACACACACUUUCUACUAGAAUAGUACGGAUAACUGAAUACAGGACCUGGGAUAUUCGAGAGUCCCAGUAUUCUCUCCCACUACUAACAACUCACAAUUUGCAUAAAAGAAAAGUAAACAUGCUUUUUCCCUUUUCUAUCUACUCCCUCUCGAGCCAAAUACCCAACUUGCCCCUUUCUUACACUUCUCUUCUAAUUUCUUUUCUUUCUUCUUGUAAAUACUUUUACCGCCUUUGACCUUUGACCAGCAUGCAUCACAUUACCCGCCUCCCAAACAAUCACCUUGUCCUCAAGGUGGAAAGUGGGAAAGCGGCUGUUAAUCAUAUCAGCCUCUUCCCAUGUAGCUUCGAAUUCCGGCAAGCCUUUCCACUUGAUAAGAACCUCCUGUGGUCUAGCCUUAACCACGCCUGUAUAACGCACUGCCAACAACUGCUCGGGUUGCACUACCAUCUCCAAGUCUGCAUUCAAGGUCCAUGGUAUAGUGGGAGAUGCAGGUUGAGUUCCCAAAGCUUUCUUUAACUGGGACACGUGGAAUACGGGAUGUAGCUUACUUCCCUGAGGCAAUUCAAGCUUAUAGGCGACUGUACCUACCCUUUGCAAUAUAGGAAACGGUCCAUAAAACUUGGCAGCCAGUUUCUCAAACGGUCUGCGAGCCAAGGAACGUUGGCGGUAGGGCUGCAAUUUCAAAUAAACCAUAUCCCCGACUUCAAACUCCACCUCACGUCUUUUACGAUCAGCAGCCACUUUCAUACGUUGUUGAGCCCUUAACAAAUUCACCCGUAGCUCAUCCACUAUGGUGUCUCGCUCCUGAAGCAUUUCUUCCACACUAUUAACAACUGUUUCACCAUGACUCAUUCGAAUGAGUGGAGGAGGGUCUCUCCCAUAGACCAACUUAAACGGUGUGAACUUAGCAGACAAGUGGGGAGAGGUAUUAUAGGAGAAUUCGGCCCACGGAAGCCACUUGGCCCAGUGCCUCGGAUGUGCCCCACUGUAGCAACGCAAAUAAGUCUCCAGGGCUUUGUUGAUAAUUUCCGUCUGGCCAUCCGUUUGGGGAUGGUAAGACGUGCUAUGCUUUAACUCCGUCCCCUGAAGCUUGAAAAGCUCCUUCCAAAAAUUGCUGAGGAAUACUCUGUCCCUGUCAGAUACAAUGGAAGCAGGAAACCCAUGUAACCUUACAAUUUCUUUGACAAAUAAUUCAGCCACUGUGACUGCCGUGAAUGGGUGACGUAGACCUAUAAAAUGACUGUACUUUGACAAUCUAUCCACAACCACCAAGAUUGUGUCAACCCCUUGUGAAAGAGGCAAUCCCUCUAUAAAGUCUAAAGACAAAUGUUCCCAAAUCACCGUCGGUAUUGGGAGGGGUUGUAGAAGCCCAGCAGGGAGCUGCUGCGAUACUUUCAGUUGCUGGCACAUAGUACACAUUUGAACAAAAACAUUUACAUCCUUUCUCAUUCCCGUCCACUGCCAUUCAGCUGAUAACCGAAGGUAGGUUUUGAGCUCCCCUGCAUGUCCUCCUAAUGGAGAGGAAUGGUACUCUCGUAAGAGUAUCUCUUUAAACUGUGAUUUUCUGGGAAGUACCACCCGGCCCUUGCACAGCAGACGUCCAUCUACCACUGUAAACCCCUCAGGUUGGGUUUUACCCGUUUUAAUCUCAUCAAUUACCAGUCGGAGUGCUGGGUCUGCCUGUACUUCUUGAUCCACAACUUUCCAAUCCCAUCCUGGCAACGUUAGUAACGACCCAAACUCAAUUUCCCCAACCGUUUUCCGCGACAGAGCAUCUGCUACUAAGUUUGAUUUUCCCGGCUUAUAUUGCACAUCGAAAGAGUAUCCCAACAACCGGCUCACCCAUUUCUGAUACUCACCCCCUAUCUCAGUUUGCUGUGUAAGAUGGCGUAGGCUUUGCUGAUCUGUUCGCACAAUAAAAUGUCUCCCCAUGAGAUAAUACUUCCAUUUGGCAACUGCCAAGCAUACAGCCAUGAGCUCUUUCUCAUAUAUGGACUUCUGUCGAGCUCGUACGCCCAAGAGUUUACUAAAAAAUGCUAACGGUCUAUUUUCCUGCAUAAGCACCGCACCAAUACCAAACCCGGAAGCAUCCGUCUCAACCACAAAUGGUUUAGUGAAAUUCGGUGUUGCUAACACGGGAGGAGUCGUCAUGGCAGUUUUUAAAGCAAUAAAGGCCUGAUCAGCUUCGUUAGUCCAGCCAAAACAAUCCUUGCGGAGCUGAUCCGUUAAAGGUCCUGCAAUUUGAGCAUAGUUCGCCACGAACUUGCGGUAGUAACCCGUAAGACCCAGAAACCCGUGAAGCUCCUUGAUUGAUGUAGGAGCUGGCCAUUCCAAUAUGGCCGUGAUCUUCUCACUGUCCACUGCCACCCCUGAUUCAGAAAUCACAUGACCCAAGUAUGCCACUUCCGUCUUGCCAAAAGCGCACUUCUUCAAAUUAGCGAAUAGGCUAUGCUUGGCCAGUGUGUCCAGUACUUGUGCCAAAUGCUCUCGAUGUUCAGAUUCUGAAGGGCUAUAGACGAGUAUAUCGUCGAAAAACACAAGUACAUACUUGCGCAGAUAUGGGCGAAAAACAUCGUUCAUCAAGGAUUGAAAUGUCGCCGGGGCAUUCAUGAGGCCAAAGGGCAUUACGAGAAAUUCGUAAUGGCCGUCAUGCGUUCGAAAGGCCGUCUUGUGAGUGUCUUCGGGUCGGACUAAAAUCUGAUGAUAUCCGGCCCUUAGAUCCAAUUUCGAAAAUACCCGAGCUCCGUGCAAUUCAUCCAACAACUCGUCAAUAACUGGAAUCGGAUAUUUAUCCGGAAUUGUUUCUUUGUUCAAUGCCCGGUAGUCCACGCAGAACCGCCACGAAUUGUCCUUCUUCCGGACUAACAAUACUGGGCUGGAGAACGGGCUAGUGGACGGUUUGAUAAUACCAGCCUUGAGCAUUUCCCGGAUGAGCCUUUCAAUUUCAUCCUUCUGACUGUGGGGAUAACGAUAGGGACGAACCCCAACUGGGUUGCUCCCUUCUUUUAGGGGAAUUGCGUGGUCAUGACUCCGUGGUGGAGGGAGGCCGUCUGGUUCAGCAAAGACACCCUGAAACUGCUGUACCACAUCCUCUAAAAAUUUCGGAACCAAGGACUCGUGGGUUAAUUGAGGCUGCUCCACAGCAAGGUUUUGUACCUCCACCCAAUAGCCCUGUUUUUCCUUACGAAGAAUUCGCAACAAGGAUUUUAAGGAUACCUUGGUUCGGACUAAAGAUGGGUCUCCAUUUAAGGUCACCAAAUUCCCGUUCACUUGGAAUUGCAUUACUUGCGUUUUCCAAUUAGUAGUGACUGGUCCCAACUGCUCUAACCAUUGAAUGCCCAAAAUGACAUCUGUGCUCCCCAAGUCUAAUGGCAAAAAAUCGUCUCGCACCAGUAUGCCCCCAUCAAGCUCCAAGACCACCUCCCGACAAAUACCACUACCUUUAAUUGUUUCCCCAUUCCCCAGUGACACUCCGAAACUCCCAUCAUCAUCCACCAGUAGAUUGAGAGACUGAACCUUGGCCAAAGAAACGAAAUUAUGCGUUGCACCUGGAUCAAUUAACACCACCACAUCCUGUCCUCCAAUCACCCCUUUCAACUUCAUAGUUUUCGGGUUUGACAACCCCACGACUGAGUUUAAGGACACUUCAGCCUGACCUUGCCCCUCACCAACAAGCUCGUCAGUGGGUGAUGGUGGUGGUUCACUCCCAGCAGCUUCCAACGGAUCCUCAUCCUCGUCAUCCAUUAACAACACACUUAAUUCACGGCGCUUACAGCGGUGGCCCGCAACCCAUUUAUCAUCACAUUUGAAACAAAGCCCUUUUGCCCGUUUAUCCUGCAGUUCUUUCUCAGACAAUCGGCGCACCUCUCCCCCACCUUUACUCAGAUUCGACCCAGAAAAUUUCGGCAUCGACACAGAGGACUGGGAAUCCCCCGCCCCUAGAGCCCAAUUCUUGACUGAAACCGAGGGUGGAACCGACCCUGCUAGUGAGGCUGAGGGGGGAAUCGAACCCUUAGAAGUGUAAGAAGCAGUGCUAGACUUAGACCAACUCAGUCCCAACUUCUUUGGAGCUAACAACGAAUUACGUUCCUCCACUCGUAAUGCUAAUUCCAUUGCCUGUUCCAAGUUCACAGGAGUCAACAAACGAACUUCAGCCUUAAGUUCAUCACGCAACCCAUUGAGAAAUUGCCCCAACAACAUAUCUUCUGAAAUAUGGUCAAGGGGUGCUGCCGUUUCGAUAAACUUUCGCUGAUACUCCAGAACACUACCAGUCUGCACUGUCGACAACCAUUGUUCAUAGAGCGAUCCUCCUGACAGAGGUCGAAACUGACGGAGCACAAAGGUACGGAGGUCAGCCCAUCGCCGGAUCGGGUGCCUCUUAUUCUCCCACUGAUACCAACGCAACGCAUCACCCUCUAAUGCCACAACAACCGCCUCCAAACGCUCCUCCUCCGUCAGCCGGUAAAACCCAAAAUACCUCUCCACCCGCAUGAUCCACCCAUCAGGAUCCGAACCAUCGAAAAGGGGCAUAUCCAGUUUCCGAUACCUCCAAUGCCCCGGACCCCCACCGGAACCCCCUCCACCAUAACUACCACGAUCUUGCGGUGCGGGCCCCGAGAACCCGCCGCCAGGGUGUCCCCGGUGUGGCGUAAAAUGGAUGCUACCUCCGCUGGAAUCUGCGUGAUGCGGGUGAGGAUCCACUUUCUCAGAUCUGGACUGGUGAGGGUUUGCACCUCCAAGCAAGGCGGCGCGCAUCUCCGCUUGAAACUGGUCCUGGUCAGUUUUCAAGGUGUAGAGGAGAGACUCAUAGUGCUCCCGGACGCGAUUAAUUCGUCCCUCCAACCGUGAACCCAAACCCUCCAUCUCCGAUGUAUGUUUUUGGGAAGCAGCCGCUUGACCCUCCAACAACAACUCCACCAAAGAGUUUUUCAUGGUGCUCACCGCCUUUUCAACGGCGGUUGCUACUAACUCAGUUAACUUUGCUUCCAACCCACCCAGUGCAUCUUCGAGUUCCUCGACCCGUUGAGUCACCGUCGGCGUAUUGGGUGCCAUGGAUCGUUAGGCUCUGAUACCACUUGAGAUGCACAGAGAUGUAAUUGAGCCCUAAUCAAGGAUCUCCAAGCAAAUUACACACAGCAAAGCAAUUGAAACAAAAGAGAAAACACACACUUUCUACUAGAAUAGUACGGAUAACUGAAUACAGGACCUGGGAUAUUCGAGAGUCCCAGUAUUCUCUCCCACUACUAACAACUCACAAUUUGCAUAAAAGAAAAGUAAACAUGCUUUUUCCCUUUUCUAUCUACUCCCUCUCGAGCCAAAUACCCAACUUGCCCCUUUCUUACACUUCUCUUCUAAUUUCUUUUCUUUCUUCUUGUAAAUACUUUUACCGCCUUUGACCUUUGACCAGCAUGCAUCACAUAAUACAAGCUGUUAGAAAAUCAAACUGUUAGAAUAUGAACGUUGAGAUAUAACAGUUUAAUUUUGAACUGAAUUAGAUAAACAUUAGGCAAGAUAAGAUUCAACAGAAUAAUGUUUAUCCUGAGCAAAGUUUGUUGAAACAAACUUGAUCCGACCCUUAAGAAUAGGAAUGAAUUCAUCAUCUCUUAGAAUUAUUCAAAUAUAAUUAUUUGACUUCUAAAGUCAUCAUCAUUAAAAUCUAAAGGGCUAACAGGGUGUGCAUUCGGUUAACUGAAACCAAAAUUAGUAUUAAGGGUAUGUUUGGGAGUGUUGUUAAAAUUGUUGUGCGG
rnacentral:lncRNA from 1 species